rnacentral:misc_RNA from 1 species
GAAAUGCGAUAAGUAGUGUGAAUUGCAGAAUUCAGUGAAUCAUCGAAUCUUUGAACGCACAUUGCGCCCCUUGGUAUUCCAUGGGGCAUGCCUGUUCGAGCGUCAUUUGUACCCUCAAGCUCUGCUUGGUGUUGGGUGUUUGUCCCGUCUCCGCGCGUGGACUCGCCCCAAAGUGAUUGGCAGCCGGCGUACUGGUCCCGGAGCGCAGCACAUGUCGUGCAAACGAGUGCCUUGGUACGGCGGCGUCCAUAAGCCCCUCUCUCACGCUCUUGACCUCGGAUCAGGUAGGGAUACCCGCUGAACUUAAGC